rnacentral:rRNA from 1 species
UAACACGUAGGGAACCUGCCUGCAUGAGCGGGAGAACUUCUGGAAACGGAAGCUGAUACCGGAUGAGCAAAGAGGAGGCAUCUUCUUUUUGGAAAAGGGGACAAGAGUCCCGCAUGCAGAUGGACCUGCGGUGCAUUAGCUGGUUGGAGAGGUAACGGCUCACCAAGGCGACGAUGCAUAGCCGGCCUGAGAGGGCGGACGGCCACACUGGGACUGAGACACGGCCCAGACUCCUGCGGGAGGCAGCAGUAGGGAAUUUUCGUCAAUGGGGGGAACCCUGAACGAGCAAUGCCGCGUGAGCGAGGAAGGUCUUCGGAUCGUAAAGCUCCGUUGCCGGGGACAAAAGGCAGAAAGAGUGGAAAGCUUUCUGAGUGAUGGUACCCGGCGAGGAAGUCACGGCUAACUACGUGCCAGCAGCCGCGGUAAUACGUAGGUGGCGAGCGUUAUCCGGAAUGAUUGGGCGUAAAGGGUGCGCAGGCGGCCGGGCAAGUCCGCAGUAAAAACUGGAGGCUCAACCUUCAGGGGCUGCGGAAACUGUCCGGCUGGAGAGCAGGAGAGGACGGUGGAACUCCAUGUGUAGCGGUAAAAUGCGUAGAUAUAUGGAAGAACACCGGUGGCGAAGGCGGCCGUCUGGCCUGCAUCUGACGCUGAGGCACGAAAGCGUGGGGAGCAAAUAGGAUUAGAUACCCUAGUAGU